AGCAGCCGCGGUAAUUCCAGCUCCAAUAGCGUAUAUUAAAGUUGUUGCAGUUAAAAAGCUCGUAGUUGAAUUUCGGGGUCAAUAGGUUGGUCGUGCCAAUGGUAUGUACUGGCUUUAUUGAUUCCUACCUCUUGACGAACUGUGAUGCCAUUAAUUUGGUGUUGCAGGAAAUCAGGACUGUUACCUUGAAAAAAUUAGAGUGUUUAAAGCAGGCUUACGCUUGAAUACAUUAGCAUGGAAUAAUGAAAUAGGACGUUUGAACCUAUUUUGUUGGUUUCUAGGAUCGACGUAAUGAUUAAUAGGGAUAGUUGGGGGCAUUAGUAUUCAAUUGUCAGAGGUGAAAUUCUUGGAUUUAUUGAAGACUAACUACUGCGAAAGCAUUUGCCAAGGAUGUUUUCAUUAAUCAAGAACGAAAGUUAGGGGAUCGAAGACGAUCAGAUACCGUCGUAGUCUUAACCAUAAACUAUGCCGACUAGGGAUCGGAUGAUGUUAAUUUUUAAUGACUCAUUCGGCGCCUUAA
rnacentral:rRNA from 1 species